GCCAGGCGUGGUGGCGCGUGCCUGUAAUCCCAGCUACUCAGGAGGCUGAGGCAGGAGAAUCACUUGAACCUGGGAGGUGCAGGUGGCAGUGAGCCGAGAUCACAUGACUGCACUCCAGCCUGGGUGACAGAGUGAGACUCUGUCUCAA
ensembl:misc_RNA Metazoa_SRP Metazoan signal recognition particle RNA